AGGUCAUUUUAAUGGGGGCUUGUGGGCUGUGCAACCUGGGGCUCUAGCAGGUCUUUGUGACCAAAGACCAAAGUUCUGUGCAGGAUGGCACAGAAUUCAACAGUGUUGUUUUUCCAAGGAGAUGUGUGG
ensembl:snoRNA